rnacentral:lncRNA from 1 species
GUCAGAAAGACAUAGUUCCAGCUUUCAGGGAGCUUAAAAUCUAAUAAGACAAAAAAAAGACAAUCAGAUUUUAUUGUAAUAAAUGUUAGCAAAGAAAAACUGUAGAGAAUUUAGAGGAAGAAGUGAAUAACUUCCCUGGUGUUCAGAAAGGAUUCAUGGUGGCUUUAUGGAAUAAUCCUUCCUACAUUUGAGGGAGGGGGAGUCAAAUCUAUCCUGGCUCCCUCUCCCCUGUUUGUACCCCCAACUCCUACCUGCCCUGCAAUAUACAUCAGUUCUUCAACUUACUCUCUUAGUAAAUGAUUUCUAAAUUCCUUUAAUCCCAUUCCUCCCUCAUCUAGAGAUUUUGCUUUCCAACAUUUUUUUUCCUCCAAAUUCCUUCUAGACUUGACCAUUGACUCACCAGUGAUCUGAUGAGGGUCCAGCAUGAGGGCAAUGUACCUCACAUGUGUGGAGAAGGUUGCUGGUAUUGUUAUUGGACCCCAAGGCCAGGUUCUUGAGUCAGUGUCAUAGAAAUGAGCAUAGAGCUUGAGGGAGAUGAAGCAGAUGGGGUUUAUUAGAGAUAGCUUGUAUACAAGGGAGCCGCGAGAAAGGAGAAUGUGCGCGGGAAGCAUGCAGGCCUUAUAAAGGCACUUUCCCAAAGGAUGAGGAGGUAGGAGUGAGGAAGCAUCCUUCAGCCCCAUGGUCAUUAUUUUGUGGUCAUUACUUUUUAGUGGACAUGAGACAGUCACAGGAUGCCUUUGUCCCUGGUUGACAUUCUUUCAGGGUUUUGGGAAAAUAGAAAUACAGUGCAAGCAUGCUCUAAAUUGUUGCUUCACGUUUUGCCCAGAUAACCAUUACUCCCUGCUGGCUGUUAUCUCUCAUUUGUUCUCUUUUCCAGAAGGAGAUAUUUGUCUCUUAGGCAUGUAAAACAUUUUAACCCUUGCCUCAGACCACUGCCUUUGUAGAAGUCCCCGUUGCUUACCUUAUAUUGACUCACUAUAUAGUACUAUCUCAUCUUCCCCCUUUUGAAUUGCUCCUUAUAUAUUUAUCUCACAUUCUAGGCCUCUAGAAGCUCCCUUCUGUCUUGCUUCACAUUGUACUAGAAAAAAAAUCUGUUAAAUUCAUAUACACAGAUAGUAGUGCAAUAAUCCAAGCAUGAUCCAGCUGUAAAACUGUAUUUGGAAAGCAAAUAAUGCUCAACCCAAAGAAAAAUUCCUUAAGGGAAGGAUUUUAAGUAUCUUAGUGAAAAAUACAUAGUUGGUAAAGGGGCUUUUUUUGAGGGUGGGGUGGGGUAUGAGUCACACUAUACAUUUGAUUGCUGACUUGACAUGAGGCCAGCUCCUAAUAAAAAUAUUGAAGAAAAGGAUGUGUUAAGAAUAUACCACAAUAGCAGCUAAUAUUUAUUGAAUUUUAUUACAUGAGAAUCAUUGUGCUAAGAAAUUCUAUACAUAUUAAGAUUAUUCAAUGCCUACAACAACCCUGUGAAAUAUAUGCUGUUAUCUCUCUAUUUUACAGAUAAGGAAACUGAGGAAUGGAGGUAUUAAAGUUGUAUAAGACCAGGUGAGAGACCUAGUUUCAGAAUCAAGAGGCUUGGGUUCCAGCUUUGAUUUUUAUCACUUACCAUGUGAUUUUUGAAGCAGGCAUGACGUUACAUUGAACUUCCAUCACUCAUCUGUAAAAUGAAGGAGGUUAACUAAAAUUCUUCAUAGGUCUAUUGUAGCUGCAUGACUUUCUGUUCAUCUUCAUGGUCUGUUUAUUUAGCAUAGUCAAAUCUGAGGAAAAAGACAAAACCAGGAGUCUUUCUUUUUGUGUAUAUGUGUAUGCUUUUCCCAUGAAGCAUUGCUGGAUAUCUCCCUGCCAAUAUUUGCUUUGAUUCCUAAACAGUAGCUGUUUUUUCAAAGGUACCCCUGUAUUUUAAGCAUGAAUAAGGUGUUGAAACGCAUGAGAAAUAUGAACAUUAUACAAGGAAAUCGAUAAGGUUAGGAAUCUUCACACAUUUAACUUAAUCAUGUCUGACACUGAAAACAAAGUCAUAUUUUAUUGCCUGAGAGGAAUGCUCUUUGGCAAACUGUGAUAGUAAUCUGAUUGUGAACAAUGCUUAUUCAUCAUUUCUAGGGCAGUGGUUGGUGUGCCAGCCAAGGGACAGCUGACCUAAUGUGCUUCAAGUUGCAUGCCUCAACAUCAGUUAUAUUGUGUAAAAUCACCAAAGCAGAGGUAGUUUAUAUUGGUCAUCCAGAAAAUAUGGGCUCCUUGCUUGUCUGCUCUCCUGUUUUCAUUGAGAAUAGUAGCCAAGGGGAUGAAUUCUCUGAGUGAUUUUCAAUGAUCAUGUUUCUAUUUCACAAUCUCUGUUUGGAUUCCGGAAGUUGGGGAAAAGAUAAAAAAAUUGCAAACCAUUAAGAAUAUGCUAUCACAAGCAUAAAUAUAAGGUAUAAGUAUGGUAGUUAUCUAAGAUAUGUUAUGGAAACCACCUAUGUGGUUUUAUGUUUCAGAAAUGGGGAGUAUUAUUUUUAGCUAUAUCAAUGCCAUUAUCUUUCCCAAGAUAGCUGGGAGCUGUUCAGUCUUAUAACCCUCCUCCUCUGAUGUCAUAUCAUUUGCCCACCUUUGAAAAUGUUUACUCUGGGAAAUGGUCCACAAUUUAUUUUCCCCCGUCCCUAGUUUGAGUUCAAGAGUCCUUUUCAAGCCUUCUUUGGGACUCUGUGAUCUCCUUUAACAAAGCUCGUACCAUGUGGAAUGAGAUAUAGUUAUGGUUAUAUGGUUAUGAGAUCAAUCUUAAGAGUGUAUUGAUCAUCUACUUUAUGAUCAACUCUGUAAAGUUUGAGUCACUAAAUUCUGGUAGUGUUUCAAGUAGAUAACUUUUGUGUAAUGUCCCUUUUCCCUUAAGAAUAAUAAGAAUAAAUAAAAA